rnacentral:rRNA from 1 species
UGAGGAAUAUUGGGCAAUGCCCGCAAGGGUGACCCAGCAACGCCGCGUGGAGGAUGAAUGUCGUAAGAUUGUAAACUCCUGUUAGAGGGGAAGAAUAGUACCGGUUGGACCGGUAUAUGACUGUACCCUCAGAGAAAGCCCCGGCUAACUACGUGCCAGCAGCCGCGGUAAUACGUAGGGGGCAAGCGUUGUCCGGAUUUAAUGGGUGUAAAGGGCGCGCAGGCGGGAUAAAAAGUCAGUGGUGAAAUCCUACAGCUUAACUGUAGAACUGCCUUUGAUACUUUUAUUCUUGAGUUCGGGAGAGAGAGACGGAAUUCCAGGUGUAGUGGUGAAAUACGUAGAUAUCUGGAAGAACACCAGUUGCGAAGGCGGUCUCUUGGUCCGACACUGACGCUGAGGCGCGAAAGCGUGGGGAGCAGACA